GAAUAUUGGACAAUGGGCGAAAGCCUGUUCCAGCCAUGCCGCGUGUGUGAAGAAGGUCUUCGGAUUGUAUAGCACUUUAAGUUGGGAGGAAGGGUUGUAGGUCAAUACUCUGCAAUUUUGACGUUCCCAACAGAAUACGCACUGGCUAACUUAGUGCCAGCAGCCGCGGUAAUACGAAGGGUGCAAGCGUUAAUCGGAAUUACUGGGCGUAAAGCGCGCGUAGGUGGUUCGUUAAGUUGGAAGUGAAAGCCCCGGGCUUAACCUGGGAAUUGCUUUCAAAACUGACGAGCUAGAGUACGGUAGAGGGUAGUGGAAUUUCCUGUGUAGCGGUGAAAUGCGUAGAUAUAGGAAGGAACAUCAGUGGCGAAGGCGACUACCUGGACUGAUACUGACACUGGGGUGCGAAAGCGUGGAGAGCAAACAGG
rnacentral:rRNA from 1 species